rnacentral:lncRNA from 1 species
UCGUUUUGAUAAAAUAGUGCUAUUUAAGGCGGAGUGCUAUUUAAGGAGAGUGCUCUUAAUCCUCUCCGUAUAUAUAUAUAUUGAGCAAUGAUCAAGUGCAUACUCAUUAUCUUACUCACCCGUGCUCACCCCCUUUAACGACGGACCUGACAACGGUUUCGAUCAUACAACAGUCGUCUAUACUUUUAACGACGGACAAUCGCUAAAAAUAUAGACAACGGUUAUAUGACCGAAUCAUUCUUAGGUCCAUCGUUAAAGGAGAGUGAGCACAGAUGAAUAAGAUAAAGAAUAU